UUGGAACCAAACUAAGUAGUAGCCAUUCUCUAAGUUCAUAAGUUGUAUAGGUUGUCAGGGGCUCCACAAAGUCAUCACCUUAUUAAGUAAAGUAUUGAAACCAGUUUUCCUACAAAGAUGUUUGAUAAUAAUGGUCCUAGCCAUCUUCCUCUCAAUGAACUUAUGAAGCUGAUCAGAAAAGGUAAUCGACGAAAUUCCUUCUACUAACUUCGUGACCACAUCUCAAUCAUGACGUACAAACUCCUCCUCCAACUUCUCUGGCAAAUAGACAUACGGGGAAGUGCCCAUUAACAUAGAUUUAUACAAUAAUUUAUCCACUCCCACAUCUUCAAUCUUCUGACCAUUUUCAUCCACUAUCAGAUCAUCCAUGUUCGGUGAAGGAUCUGUCCUCCUCCUUACCUUCUUUUUUGCCUGACCCACACCGCUAUUCGAUCUUGUAAGGCUCUUCCCUACCACAAAAUUCGUCGAAAGCAAAGAGCCAUUCAUCUUUUAUAUUUUACUCUUUUAUAAUAUAUUAUCUUGAAAUCUAUUUUAUUAUAAUAAUCUUUACUUUUGAUAUCUAUGUACCUCA
rnacentral:lncRNA from 1 species